rnacentral:tRNA from 2 species
GGGGAUUAGCUCAGUUGGCUAGAGCAUCUGCCUUGCACGCAGGGGGUCGCGGGUUCGAAUCCCACAUCCUCC